rnacentral:rRNA from 1 species
UACAGAGGUCUCAAGCGUUGUUCGGAUUCAUUGGGCGUAAAGGGUGCGUAGGCGGCGCGGUAAGUCGGGUGUGAAAUCUCGGAGCUUAACUCCGAAACUGCAUUCGAUACUGCCGUGCUUGAGGACUGGAGAGGAGACUGGAAUUUACGGUGUAGCAGUGAAAUGCGUAGAUAUCGUAAGGAACGCCAGUGGCGAAAGCGAAAUCUCUGGGCAGCAACUGACGCUGAGGCACGAAGGCCAGGGGGAGCAAACGGG